rnacentral:rRNA from 1 species
AUUGAACGCUGGCGGCAUGCCUAACACAUGCAAGUCGAACGCGAAAGAGGGGCAACCCUUGAGUAGAGUGGCGGACGGGUGCGUAAUACGUAGGAAUCUGCCCUAAAGUGGGGGACAACCACGCGAAAGCGUGGCUAAUACCACAUAAUCUCGAGAGAGUAAAGGUGGGCAGCAAUACCUAUCGCUUUAGGAUGAGCCUACGCCGGAUUAGCUAGUUGGUAGGGUAAUGGCCUACCAAGGCAACGAUCCGUAGCUGGUCUGAGAGGACGACCAGCCACACUGGGACUGAGAUACGGCCCAGACUCCUACGGGAGGCAGCAGUGGGGAAUAUUGGACAAUGGGGGAAACCCUGAUCCAGCAAUGCCGCGUGUGCGAUGAAGGCCUGCGGGUUGUAAAGCACUCUCGUUGGGGAAGAAAUACUUGUAGCUAAUACCUGCAAGGGUUGACGUUACCCAAAGAAGAAGCACCGGCUAACUCUGUGCCAGCCGCCGCGGUAA